UGGGGCGUAGCCAAGCUGGUAAGGCGCCUGACUCUGGAUCAGGAGAUCGAGGGUUCGAAUCCUUCCGCCCCAGCCA
rnacentral:tRNA from 1 species